UUUAGAACUAUCAUUGUGCCCACAAAACGCUUGGUAUCAAAGACUCUAUAUCGAGUGGUUGAAAGAUGUUGUGAGGGUUGGACUGGUGAUGAUUGCAUGACAGGUAUGUUAUAGUGGACUGUGGAUGCAAUAUUCUGUAUGGACAGGUGUCAACUAUUGGUUAUACGGUAUCAAUACGGAACAGCUAUUACGUCGUUUGUUAUAGUUAUCGCGGUAGGAAAUUUAUUUAUAUAAUUUGUCAGGGAAAAAUACAGGGAAAUGUUGGUUGUAGGCCUAGUAUACAGCCGUGAGUAACGGCAAUCGCUCGCCCUUUUAAUUAGUGGUUUAUUUACCAGGCUUUGUGCCGAAAUAUGCCAUAGGCAUGCAAUUAAUUCUUUAUUACUUGGCAAGUCCUUUCUAAUCUAGACUCGUAGAUGAAAUAAACAGAUUGUUUCAUUGUAUACGUCAGUAAAAAUUGGAGUGUGACCCAAGAAAGAUUCUUCAUAAGUCACGGUUCUAUUAUGGCAAUUUUGUUAAUGGAAACAACUUGCGACGCCCCUAUAGCUUGCAAUAAUAUUUAUUUAUGGUGACUGAAUGUUCUCAAUCAUAACAUUUUCAUUAUAUAGCUACUGAUGAAGAACAAGGAAACAACUUUAAAAGACAAUCAAGUAAAUGAGCACUACAUUGAUUUAGGAUAAGAAAUAGAACUUAAACAUCGGGUUAAAGACAUUAAAAUUAUCUUCCUUUUUAUAUCAUAUAUGUAAACCAACUAGUUCUUGGCCAAACUUUUAUUUUUUAUGUAAACCCAAGAAACUACGUUGUUUUGUUCAUGUAAGCCCAAGAAACCACAUGCAUAUGAUGGAAAAGCUUAUACUCUAAAAAUUUUUUCAAGGAGUCAAUCCAGGAAUAUGUCCAAGAUAUUCAAGCCCAGGACGUUUUGGACGUUGUGCAGAUGAAUGCCAAACUGACGCAGAUUGUGGAAAGACCAAGAAGUGUUGCAGGUCAACAUGCAUAGGACUGAAAUGCAUGUCACCAUGUAAGAUGUUUUCAGUAAAAUAAACAAGCAGUAG
rnacentral:lncRNA from 1 species